rnacentral:rRNA from 1 species
UACGGGGGGGCAAGCGUUGUUCGGAUUUACUGGGCGUAAAGGGCGCGUAGGCGGCAAUUCAAGUCAUCUGUGAAAUCUCCGGGCUUAACUCGGAACGGUCAGAUGAUACUGCUUUGCUAGAGUACAGAAGGGGCAAUCGGAAUUCUUGGUGUAGCGGUGAAAUGCGUAGAUAUCAAGAGGAACACCUGAGGUGAAGACGGGUUGCUGGGCUGAUACUGACGCUGAGGCGCGAAAGCUAGGGUAGCAAACGGG